rnacentral:rRNA from 1 species
GUGGGGAAUAUUGGGCAAUGGGGGAAACCCUGACCCAGCGACGCCGCGUGAGGGAAGAAGGCCUUAGGGUCGUAAACCUCUGUUGUGUGGGAAGAAGAGUGUGACGGUACCACACGAGGAAGUCCCGGCUAACUACGUGCCAGCAGCCGCGGUAAUACGUAGGGGACGAGCGUUGUCCGGAUUUACUGGGCGUAAAGGGCGCGUAGGCGGUCAUUUAAGUCAGCUGUGAAAUGGUUUGGCUUAACCGGAUCAUGCGGUUGAAUGUGGAUGACUGGAGUGCUGGAGAGGCAAGUGGAAUUCCCAGUGUAGCGGUGAAAUGCGUAGAUAUUGGGAAGAACACCGGUGGCGAAGGCGACUUGCUGGCCAGCAACUGACGCUGAGGCGCGAAAGCCAGGGGAGCAAACGGGAUUAGAAACCCGUGUAGUCC